AACUUCAAUCUUCUGCAUCAAAUCCAAGCAUGUGUACUGUUUGAUAAACUGCUUCUUUUUGUUUGUUCUUUUCUUGAGGUCCUGUUUACAUCAGGGAAAGAUCUCCAGAUUACAGCAGGAGUCAAUCACAGCUUUCCCAAAAGCUCUCACCUGACUCGAGUCCAAUGUCGUGGUAGGCAUUGGUUGUUCCUGUUCAUUACCAGUGUGGCUCCAGUGUCAGCUUCAAUACUUCCUUGAAUUCAGUUAGGUGAUACUCAAAUGCUCCAGAAGAGAUGGAAUGACAGCCCAAAACUCAUUGGUAAUUACAGCAUGUAUUCCCAGUGACAGAAGGGAUGUUCCAGCGUUUUGGCUAUGCCUGAGCCAAGCCAAUUGUUCUUUUCUGCAGCUGCAAACACCUGCCCAGGCUGGAUUCUGUACUCUGCAAGGCUGUCAUGUCAGGAUGCUGCAAAAGAGGUUGUUGCAUCUUCUUCCUGUAAAGUUGGUGGAGUUUCUCUCUAUGCAGGGGGUACAACCUUUAUGGUCAAGAAACUGUUUUCCUUGCUCUGUGGUUUUCUUCCUGCUGCUGCUUUUAAAGGGGUCAACACUCUUAGCUCCAGGAAACUGAAACUAAAUGUGAGCAGGGACUGGAAGAAGGAAGCAGGGAGAAUCCCCUACAAGAUUCCAAUGUGUCUUAUUUCUGGGAAAACGAAAUAAAGCAGGAUUCAACUGCCAGUGGCUGAAUAGCAUCAAUUUAUGAGCUGUUCCUCAAAAGCCCCAGACAAGCAUCAAGUCCUGUGGGAAGCUGGAGAUUGACAGAGGACACCUCCAGAAGACUCUGCUGUUGAAACUUCCUUUAAGCUUUUUUUCCAAGUGGAGCAUCCAGACCUGGCAAAUGCAUAAGGUCAGCCCUUAGAAGAGCAAAGAGCUUUCUCCAAGAAAACCAAACGGGUGGCCAGAGUCUGUCCAUUUGUCUGCCUGUCUUUUUGGCCUUGGAUUACUGUGCUUUUCAAAGCUAUGCUUUCAUAACUUGGAUAAAAAGGUAAAUGUUUCAUAUAGCUCUGCAAGUAGUAAUCACCCUGUUCAUGCAAAAAAUCUGCUGCCUGAGGGAUGGGCCCAAACCAGAGGUGUUUCUCAUUUACCUACAAAGUGUCUGGCUUUAGCAUCUGUAGUCAGUUUUUGUGAACAUGUGAGUCCAUUGCCUGCUCUAACAGAGUUAGUGACUUACUUUCAGUGGUUGUAGAGAGUUUCACUGAAAUAGCACUGUUUGUAGUCCAUUGUGUGACUUAGGAGACACAAUAGCCAGAAAAUUCUGCAAUUGUAAUAUAACUGUAUGUGGCAUUCCCAGAAAAUGCUCUGAAGUCUUCUCCCGUUGCACCAUGGUGAUAAAAACCACUGCUGCUUUUCAAGCUCCACGAGUCCAUGCUGUGCUGUGCUGAAAGUGAUAGAAAAGCCAAUUAGCUUUGAAAAGUGAAGGGCAGAGAGGCCUGGAAUUCCCUCCCUUUGGCAGCAGCAAAGGUCAGCCGUGCAGCCAAACUUGUGUGACCACAUGUGGAUCCAGCUAUCUGCACAGGGAGUGGGAGAGGGUGGGGAGGAAGAAUUGAUUCUGGAAGGGGAAAGCCUGAGUUAAAGGGAAAAGUGGAGUGAAAUGUGACAGCUGGGAUUUCCAGAAGGUAGUUUGAUGGAUGCUGGGCAUCCAGCUUCCCUAGAACUCUUUGUCAGUAACACCCUCUAUAUCUCCCUGAGUGGCUUUUAGCCUCUCUGGCAGUUUUCAGCAUCAGUGUGUGAGGGAAAAGAGGUGGAAGGCAGUUCUCUCCGAUUUGGCAGCUCUGGGACUUCAACACAUCUUUGUGCUGCUGGCUGAAGGUCUGGAUUUCCAAAGAACUUCCUGGCUACCUGUAGCUCCAACAGGCUUGUAGAAGUGGGCUUAGAGAAACCCUGAGCUGCCAGAUGUCUGCUCCUGGUGCAGCUCUUCUGAAUAGUCCUGGGUUUGGAUGUGAGCCUGCAGUCCUUGGGAGGCAAAAUGCACUCCACAAUCCCAAGGGACUUCUCUAUCUCUCAGUUCAGGCCAGCUGUAGGAAUCCUCCAAGUCCCUUUAUCCUGAUCUGUUUGUCAAGGCCCUGUGGCUGACCAUGAGUGACCCGAGCUGCCAUGGACCCUUCUUGCAAGGGCAAUUGUCUUCAGAGUCAGCGUAGGUGCUGGCUACCUUUGGAAAAGUGUGAAUAUCCUAGUGAAAUCCAUGGGGCAGAAGCCUUGGGUCAUGCUGUGUGCUGACACCAUCAGCAGGCAUGAUUCUGACAGAGGUGCUUUGCUUUUGGUGUGAAACUUUGCUCUGAUGCAUCAUUCCAAGGAAAACAGCUGGAAUUUGCAGGCCAGAUCAUGUGGUGAGAUAAGUAAUUCCAGCUCCCUUAAUGGACCUGAUUUAUACAGGUCAGGUCCAAUAUUUCUGAGAAAUUGUUGAUGGUGGGAGCUUUUCUGUUUGUUUGUUUCACUGAAAACUUGAAGCCUUUCUAAUAAAGAACAAAUGAGGUGUAGGGAAUUUUUAGCU
ensembl:lncRNA